UGGUGGAGUGAUUUGUCUGGUUAAUUCCGUUAACGAACGAGACCUCGACCUGCUAAAUAGUUUGGCGAACUCUUCGGGGUUUGUUUCCAUAACUUCUUAGAGGGACUAUCGGUGCGUAGCCGACGGAAGUUCGAGGCAAUAACA
rnacentral:rRNA from 1 species